GUCCGUCUGUCCGUCCGUCCGUCUGUCCGUCCGUCCGUCCGUCCGUCCGUCCGUCCGUCGUCCACACUUCGGACAAUAACUCAAAAACGCUUUCACCAAUUUCCAUGAAACUUAAGUGAAUUGUUUAUAUCUAUUGACGUAAGCUCCCUUUCGUUUUUUUUUUAAUUUCAGAUUUUAAGUUUUGGAUUUAUGGGGCUUUAUUCAUAAAAAAGGGGGAUUUUCAACACUUCGGACAAUAACUCAAAAAGGCUUUCACCAAUGUCCAUGAAACUUUGGUGAAUUGUUUAUAUCUAUUGAUGUAAGCUCCCUUUCAAUUUUUUAUAAAUUUCAGAUUUUAAGUUUUGGAUUUAUGGGGC
rnacentral:lncRNA from 1 species